rnacentral:rRNA from 1 species
AAUCUUCCUCAAUGGACGAAAGUCUGACGGAGCAACGCCGCGAGAGUGAUGAAGGCUUUCGGGUCGUAAAACGCUGUUGUUAGGGAAGAACAAGUACAAGAGUAACUGCUUGUUCCUUGACGGUACCUAACCAGAAAGACACGGCUAACUACGUGCCAGCAGCCGGGGUAAUACGUAGGUGGCAAGCGUUAUCCGGUAUUGUUGGGCGUAAAGCGCGAGCAGGCGGUUUCUUAAGUCUGAUGUGAAAGCCCACGGCUCAACCGUGGAGGGUCAUUGGAAACUGGGGAACUUGAGUGCAGAAGAGGAAAGCGGAAUUCCACGUGUAGCGGUGAAAUGCGUAGAGAUGUGGAGGAACACCAGUGGCGAAGGCGGCUUCUUGGUCUGUAACUGACGCUGAGGCGCGAAAGCGUGGGGAGCAAACAGG